rnacentral:rRNA from 1 species
UACGAAGGGUGCAAGCGUUACUCGGAAUUACUGGGCGUAAAGCGUGCGUAGGCGGUUUGUUAAGUCUGAUGUGAAAGCCCUGGGCUCAACCUGGGAAUGGCAUUGGAUACUGGCAACCUAGAAUGUGGUAGAGGGUGGCGGAAUUCCCGGUGUAGCGGUGAAAUGUGUAGAGAUCGGGAGGAACACCGGUGGCGAAGGCGGGUCUCUGGGCAAUUCCUGACGCUGAGGCGCGAAAGCGUGGGAGCAAACGGG